rnacentral:tRNA from 1 species
GCGUCCUUAGUUCAGUUGGUAGAACGCAGGUCUCCAAAACCUGAUGGCGAGGGUUCAAGUCCUUCAGGACGUG